rnacentral:rRNA from 1 species
UUGGAGGGCAAGUCUGGUGCCAGCAGCCGCGGUAAUUCCAGCUCCAAUAGCGUAUAUUAAAGCUGUUGCAGUUAAAAAGCUCGUAGUUGAAUUUCGGGGUUAGUAGGUUGGUCAUGCCUCAGGUAUGUACUGAUCUCACUGAUUCCUCCUUCCUGACGAACCGUAAUGCCAUUAAUUUGGUGUUGCGGGGAGUCUGGACUGUUACUUUGAAAAAAUUAGAGUGUUUAAAGCAGGCUAACGCUUGAAUACAUUAGCAUGGAAUAACGAAAUAGGACGUUCGAUCCUAUUUUGUUGGUUUCUAGGAUUGACGUAAUGAUUAAUAGGGAUAGUUGGGGGCAUUAGUAUUCAAUUGUCAGAGGUGAAAUUCUUGGAUUUAUUGAAGACUAACUACUGCGAAAGCAUUUGCCAAGGAUGUUUUCAUUAAUCAAGAACGAAAGUUAGGGGAUCGAAGACGAUCAGAUACCGUCGUAGUCUUAACCAUAAACUAUGCCGACUAGGGAUCGGAUGAUGUUAAUUUUUUAAUGACUCAUUCGGCGCCUUACGGGAAAC